UAAAUCAUAAAAACAAUAUAAAACACAGACUAGAAUAUUCACUAUGAACAGGAACAAAUAACAUAAGAGCUAUUAUAUAGCAGGCUGUUGCUUGUUGGUCAUUGAGUAGCUCCAAAGGAAAGUGUUUCCCUUUUCAUGAAAAUUAAAUUGAUCUGGGCUCUUCAGGACAUUGCUGACUGUGCUGAAAUGGGGCAGAAACGGAACCUUUCUGUGCCCAGAAAUGAACUACAAUGCUGAAUACCGCACCCUUCUCCCCGCCCUAAAUCAGCCAGAAGGAAUCAGGAUCUGCAGAAUGGGGAAACUGGCCACAAUGUUUCUGCUGCAACUUGCUGAGGAGUCGGUGAACCCUGCGACCGAGGCAAACAUCACCCCCACCUCCUCAUAGGACUGGGAGUACAGCUCCUGAAGAACGGAAAGUGUACACACAUUGAGAAGUUAAUAUGAACUUGAUUAUUUGUUGGCAUUUCCUUUAACCUAUCUGAUCUGUGAUGUGAAGUCAACAGACACCCGAGGAUGGGUACCCUGGUCCCAGAUGUGUUUGUGCUGUCUUGCCAAAGAAUGACGAUAGGAGUUGACAAGGCAAAACAAACAGAUCUGGGACCAGGCUAAUGGACACGUGCAAGGGAUUGGUUUGGAAUCAGGAUAUUCAGCCUAUAUGCUGUCAAGGUGUUUUCUAUACUUCGUCGUUCCUGCACCUCUCUAGGAAGUGUCUUGCGACGUGUAAUGGCAGGAUGUUGUGCAGCAGACACCCGUUGUGCUCCCACAGCUCCCUCAUGUCCUCCCCUUCCUGCUGAGCCUGCAGACGCCAUAGGAAGUCCAGCCUCGCCGUCGGCUCCCACUGGAUGACAAGGAACAGCCAAUCACAAAUAGACUUUACUUUACUGAGGGAUGAUGGUGACUCAAUACAUUUGAAUUAGUUACAGACACAUCAGUUGCAGCUACAUAACUGCUUAACACAAUAACAUGCCUUGGGAGCUCUACUGAAAUAAAAGGUAAGGACUG